rnacentral:rRNA from 1 species
GUGCCAGCGCCGCGGUAAUACGGGGGGGGCAAGCGUUGUUCGGAUUUACUGGGCGUAAAGGGCUCGUAGGCGGCCAUCUAAGUCGGUUGUGAAAUCCCUCGGCUCAACCGGGGAACUGCAGUCGAUACUGGGUAGCUUGAAGCCGGGAGAGGGAUGCGGAAUUUCAGGUGUAGCGGUGAAAUGCGUAGAUAUCUGAAGGAACACCCGUGGCGAAGGCGGCAUCCUGGACCGGUCUUGACGCUGAGGAGCGAAAGCUAGGGGAGCGAACGGGAUUAGAUACCCCGGUAGUCCUAGCCCUAAACGAUGAAUGCUUGGUGUGGCGGGUAUCGAUCCCUGCCGUGCCGUAGCUAACGCGUUAAGCACUCCGCCUGGGAAGUACGGUCGCAAGAUUAAAACUCAAAUGAAUUGACGGGGGCCCGCACAAGCGGGUGGAGCAUGUGGUUUAAUUCGAAGCAACGCGAAGAACCUUAUCAGUCCUUGACA